rnacentral:rRNA from 1 species
CCGGCACGGGUGAGUAACACGUAUCCAACCUGCCGUCUACUCUUGGCCAGCCUUCUGAAAGGAAGAUUAGUCCAGGAUGGCAUCAUGAGUUCACAUGUCCGCAUGAUUAAAGGUAUUUUCCGGUAGACGAUGGGGAUGCGUUCCAUUAGAUAGUAGGCGGGGUAACGGCCCACCUAGUCAACGAUGGAUAGGGGUUCUGAGAGGAAGGUCCCCCACAUUGGAACUGAGACACGGUCCAA